rnacentral:lncRNA from 1 species
GUAGAUCUACUUCUCCUCUUUCCGUAACAUCUUGAAUCAUCGAAAUCGGAGUUCGGACGAAGAAGUUAUGGCCAUUUUCCCAAAGGACCUCGGAGCAGAAAAUGUCAUGUUUUUGGGCCAGCGCCGGGGCGCUACUUCUAGUGCUUUUUCCAGCGCCGGGGCGCUAGGGGGCAAACUCCAGCGCCGUUGCCCAGCGCUGGGGCGCUGGGGGAAGGGUUUGGUGCG